rnacentral:lncRNA from 1 species
AAGAGUAGCUCAUGAAGGGUAUAGGUAUAAGUGUCCCUCCGAUUUGAGAUCACCACGGUGACUUGCAAGUAACUCACUAUACUUUGGUAUCGAACUAACUGAAUUUUUAAUUCAGUAAUGAAAGAUUUCUAAGUACAGUCAAGUACUUAUCAAAUCGAUGCAUGAGUUAAGAUGGGAUUGACUCCUCCGAAUUAGUAGGAGAUAUGCAUUAGUGUAUUUCAAUUUAGUAGAAUCUGGGCCC